rnacentral:rRNA from 1 species
CAGCAGCCACGGUAAAACAGAGGGUGCGAGCGUUAAUCGGAUUUACUGGGCGUAAAGCGUGCGUAGGCGGCUUUUUAAGUCGGAUGUGAAAUCCCUGAGCUUAACUUAGGAAUUGCAUUCGAUACUGGGAAGCUAGAGUAUGGGAGAGGAUGGUAGAAUUCCAGGUGUAGCGGUGAAAUGCGUAGAGAUCUGGAGGAAUACCGAUGGCGAAGGCAGCCAUCUGGCCUAAUACUGACGCUGAGGUACGAAAGCAUGGGGAGCAAACAGGAUUAGAUACCCGCGUAGUCCCUGUCUCUUAUAC